rnacentral:lncRNA from 1 species
ACAACUAUAACAUUAUAUCAAAUCUACUCCAUAAUAUUCAAAAAUAUAUUUCGAGAAAAUUAUUCUUUAUUCAUAAAAAUUGGGGUCUUACAACCUCCCCUUCUUAUGAAAUUUCGUCCUCGAAAUUAGGGUAAGUACCUGGUAUAUCGAAGAGGUGAGGAUACCUUGACUUCAUUUCAGAUUCUAACUUCCAGGUCAUUUCCUCAACAUCGUGGUUUCUCCACAAAACUUUGACUUGAGGUAUAACUUUAGAGCGUAGAAUAUGAUCCUUCUUAUCCAAGAUUUUAACAGGUAACUCUUCAUACAUUAAAUAUUCCUCUAUCUCGUCUGGCUCUAAUUCAAUAAUGUGGUUCGGGUCUUUCACAUAUUUACGUAACAUAGAUAUGUGAAAAACGUUAUGAACACG